AGAUUUGGUCGUAGAACGCGACCAAGUAAAACAAAAGAAACGUUCACCGAGA
rnacentral:sRNA from 12 species